GUCGAGGGGCAGCAUUUUAGUUUGCUUGCAAACUGAAGAUGGCGACCGGCGCACGGGUGAGUAACACGUAUCCAACCUGCCGAUAACUCCGGAAUAGCCUUUCGAAAGAAAGAUUAAUACCGGAUAGCAUACGAAUAUCGCAUGAUAUUUUUAUUAAAGAAUUUCGGUUAUCGAUGGGGAUGCGUUCCAUUAGUUUGUUGGCGGGGUAACGGCCCACCAAGACUACGAUGGAUAGGGGUUCUGAGAGGAAGGUCCCCCACAUUGGAACUGAGACACGGUCCAAACUCCUACGGGAGGCAGCAGUGAGGAAUAUUGGUCAAUGGGCGAGAGCCUGAACCAGCCAAGUAGCGUGAAGGAUGAAGGCUCUAUGGGUCGUAAACUUCUUUUAUAUGGGAAUAAAGUUUUCCACGUGUGGAAUUUUGUAUGUACCAUAUGAAUAAGGAUCGGCUAACUCCGUGCCAGCAGCCGCGGUAAUACGGAGGAUCCGAGCGUUAUCCGGAUUUAUUGGGUUUAAAGGGAGCGUAGGUGGAUUGUUAAGUCAGUUGUGAAAGUUUGCGGCUCAACCGUAAAAUUGCAGUUGAAACUGGCAGUCUUGAGUACAGUAGAGGUGGGCGGAAUUC
rnacentral:rRNA from 1 species